rnacentral:lncRNA from 1 species
CUAGGACAGUUUCAUUAUCUGCAUGAACUGGUGAUGUGGGCAUUGCUGUAGAAGAGAAAGCAAGCAAAGGGUUUUCAAGCUGCAUCCCCUGCCUGUGUGACACAGAUGGACAUUGCCAGCAGAAAUGGUUCACGAGAGGAAGAGAGUUCAAAGUGAAAUCACUCCUUGUGCCUGACUCUAUACCAGAGUUGUUCUCUCUCCAUUGGAACUUACGCCGGAAGUCCCGCCUCCUAUUUCCUGCCUCAGCCAACAGGCUAUAUCAGCUUUACAUGGAAAGCUUCCAUACAUUAUGUAAGAGA